AUGGGCAAGACAACUCUUGCAAAUCAAGUGUAUCAAGAUCUCAAAGGAGAAUUUAAAUGUCGGGCCUUCUUAACUGUGUCAAGAAACCCAGACAUGAUGAAUAUCAUGAGAACUAUUUUUAGUGAUGUUAGUGGCCAACGGUACGCCGACACUGAAGCUGGGAGUUUACAACAGCUCAUCUCCAAGAUCAACGAUUUCCUGGUAGAUAAAAGGUAUUUUGUUGUUAUUGACGACAUAUGGGACGUGGAUACAUGGCAUGUUAUUAAGCUUGCAUUUCCCGUGACUAGUUCUGGAAGUAUCAUAAUCACCACUACCCGUAUAAAUGAAGUUGCUGAAUCAUGUCGUUCAACACCAUUCAGUGGGGAUAUUUAUUUCAUCAGGCCUCUUGAAAUGGUGCACUCUAGGCACUUAUUUUACACAAGACUAUUCAAUGCCAAAGAAAAUUGUCCCUCAUACCUUAAAACAGUUUCUGAGCAUAUUUUGAAAAAAUGUGCUGGGUUGCCUGUGGCAAUCAUUGCUAUAUCCGGUUUGUUGGCUAAUAUUGAAAGGACAGAAGGUCCAUGGAAACAAGUUGAAGAUUCGAUUGGUAGAGCACUUGAAAGAAAUCCCAGUGUUGAAGGAAUGAUGAAGAUACUAUCACUUAGUUACUUUGAACUGCCUGCUCAUCUGAAAUCUUGUCUCUUAUGUUUGAGUAUAUUCCCUGAAGAUUCUGUUAUUAAGAAGAAAGUUUUGAUAAAUAGGUGGAUUGCUGAAAGAUUAAUUCAUACAGAAUCCGGAUAUAGUACUUCAUAUGAGUUUGGAGAAAGGUGUUUUAAUGAGCUAAUAAACAGGAGUUUGAUCCAACCUUGGGAAACAGACAUGCUUGGAAUCGUAACGAGUUGUCGACUUCAUGACACAAUUCUUGAUUUCAUCAUAUCCAGAUCCAUCGAAGAAAACUUUGUUACUUUGGUAGGUGUUCCUAGUUUAUCUGUUGGGACACACAACAAAGUUCGUCGGCUCUCCCUGCAAGCCAGCAAGCAAAAAGAACUGAUAGUGCCAAGAGGCUUGGUGUUGUCUCAUGUCCGAUCACUCGAUGUGUUUGGGGAAUCUGUGAAAAUUCCUUCUAUGGAUAAGUUCAGGCAUUUGCGUUUUUUGGACUUUGAAGAUUGCAAACAACUUGAGAACCAUCAUCUUGAACAUAUAGAUAAAUUGUUUCAACUCAGGUACCUGAGCCUUCAUGUGUUGGAGAAAGUAAGCAAGCUCCCAGAAGAAAUCGGACCCCUAUGGUGCUUAGAGAUACUGGAGUUAAGAGGCACCUCUGUUUGCGAGUUACCAGCAUCUAUUGUCAAUCUCAAGAGACUGGUGCACCUAUUAGUAAACCAGAAUGUUACACUUCCUUGUGGAAUUUCCAAGCUGCAAGCACUGGAGAAAUUGAAGCUUGUGAGUGUCUAUAGCCAGUCAUUUAACUUCCUGCAAGAAUUUGAGGAGCUGCAGAGUCUAAAGGUAUUGACCCUUGAUUUUGAGGAUUAUAGUUCUGCUGGCCGAGUGAACGCUGAAAAUGAGUCCAAGAAAACUAUUAUUGUCGCUUCCGUUACAAAUCUAGGGAACCUUCUCUCUCUAACUGUUUGGAACGGCCCUGAAUUUGUAAGGGAGUCUUUGUGCCCUAUGCCACUUAGCCUCCAGAAGCUGAAAAUCUUGCGUUCUAGUAUUCCCCAUGUUCCAAAGUGGGUGGGCUCUCUUGUCAACGCCCAGAAAUUACGCCCUGAUUUGGUCAGAGCUGAGCAGGAAGAUUUAUAUAUCCUUGGAGGCUUACCUGUUCUGCAUUGUCUGAUUCUGAGAAUUGAUGCAAGGGAAAUUAGAAAUACCACAUUAACAGAAGAGCCUGAAGCUACAAGGGUCAUAGUCUGUGGUGAAGUUGGAUUCCCAUACUUGAGGAUAUUUAAUUAUGAUAGUCGGUGUGAUGUGAUGAAUUUGACGUUUGGGGGUGGAGCCAUGCCCAUGGUAGAUGACCUCUUGAUAGAAUUUGAUGUGAUAGAAUUUGAUGUAGCAAAAACUGAGUCUAUCGGUACUAGCGGUGAUUUUGAACUCGGAAUAGAAAAUCUCCCCAGCCUCGUUAAAAUCAGAUGUCAAGUAUGGGGAUAUGUGCAGGAUAGAAGCAGAGUUGAGGCUGCAAAGGCUGCCAUUCGGAAAGCAGCCAACGCACAUCCCAACCGCCCUACUCUAUACUUGAACUGA
rnacentral:rRNA from 1 species